AACGAACGCUGGCGGCAUGCCUAACACAUGCAAGUCGAACGAGACCUUCGGGUUUGGUGUCGCACGGGUGCGUAACGCGUGGGAACCUGUCCUUAGGUUCGGAAUAACUCCCCGAAAGGGUCGCUAAUCCCGGGUAAUGACCGCGGACCAAAGAUUUGUUGCCUUUGGAUGGGGCCGCGUUUGAUUAGCUAGUUGUUAGGGUAAAAGCCUGCCAAGGCGACGAUCCAUAGCUGGUCUGCGAGGAUGAUCAGCCACACUGGGACUGAGACACGGCCCAGACUCCUACGAGAGGCAGCAGUGGGGAAUAUUGGACAAGGGGCGAGAGCCUGAUCCAGCAAUGCCGCGUGAGUGAUGAAGGCCUUAGGGUUGUAAAGCUCUAUUACCCGGGAUGAUAAUGACAGUACCGGGAGAAUAAGCUCCGGCUAACUCCGUG
rnacentral:rRNA from 1 species